CCUCAGCUCCCUUUCCACGCUGUGGAAGCUUUGUUCUUUCACUCUUUGCAAUAAAUCUUGCUGCUGCUCACUCUUUGGGUCUGCACUGCCUUUAUGAGCUGUAACACUCACUGCGAAGGUCUGCAGCUUCACUCCUGAGCCAGCGAGACCACGAAUCUAACAGAAGGAAGAAACUCCGAACACAUCUGAACAUCAGAAGGAACAAACUCUGGACACGCCACCUUUAAGAAUUGUAAGAGGGUGGGCGGCUUCAUUCUUGAAGUCAGUGAGACCAAGAACCCACCAAUUCCGGACACACCCUUAAUCUCCAAUAUUGGAAGCACUUACAAAUUCAUGGACUAUUAUGAAGACAAGUUAAGAGAUUGUGUCCUCCAAACUCAUCAUUUUUCAGAUCCAGUUCUGAAUCUCGUUAGCAAGUUCAAAGCAAGGCCAAGAAGAUGCAAUUCCCACUGGAAACCUUAUGAGACAGUUAGAAGGGAAGGGGAGCAAAUGUUCACCAGGUGAGCACUGGAACGCAGCCACUGCACAAAUGCAAUCCUGUUCUAUUCUCACAGCAAUCUUCCAUGAGAAGUAUUUAUUACUAUACAUGAAGAAACUCAAGGAUUUGGAAUGUGCAUGCACAGAUUGCGGAUAGAUAGACUGCCACCCUCGUCAUUGCAGAAGGAAACUUGUGAGUUAUGCCCAGUGCAAUUCUUUCCAACUCUGAUUCCACUGUGGUUACUGCUGAUGGACUCUAGGUGGCCACAGAUGAUACAAACAUGUUCCCAUGGAGCCUCAUGUCAUCCUGACAUGCUGUUCCAGUCUAAGGUAACUGCUGUUCUUCAGUUUAGAAAAGGAGCAACUGUUUUGGAUACAUUUUCAGUGCCAGAACUCUUUCUCCACUGCCUUAGACUUCUCAGUGGUGAAGUGAGAAGGAGUUUUGACAGCUACAGAGCAACAUUUCCAAACGAGAAAAGAAAACAAGGCAAACUUUUUAUAAAUUAUUCAAAUAAUAUGUUAAAUUCAAGGAAAAGAAAAUUUCCAUUUUAUGGUGAAGACUGAUGUUUCCUAAGUCUAUUGGUAAGCUGAGAAACUGCUCUGUGAGCUCUUUCAUUGAAAAUAUUGAAUGACCACAGCUGUUAAAUCUUGCUAAAGGUGUCCUCAGUUCACACUACAACAUGCUUGGGUGCAGGGUCUGGAAGCAAUGACAAAUCAGUGAGACUCCAACACUGAGCUGAAAUGUUCUGUUUUUGCAGUGACAUCAGACCUUAUUAUUGCCCCUGUCUUCCUUCCGUCCUUCCCUCUCCAGGUGUAACUACUAUGGAGUCGUGCCCUGUCUCCCAGGCUGGAGUGCAGUGGCCCGAUCUCGGCUCAUGGCAACCUCUGCCUCCCAGGUUCAAGUGAUUCUCCUGCCUCAGCCUCCCGAGAAGCUGGGACUACAGGUGCCUGCCACCAUGCCCGGCUAAUUUUGGUAUUUUUAGUAGAGACGGGGUUUCACCAUAUUGGCCAGGCUGGUCUUGAACUCCUGAUCUUGUGAUCCACCCACCUCGGCUUCCCAAAGUGCUGGGAUUACAGGCAUGAGCCACCGCACCCAGCCUUUGAACUUUCAUACCUUUAGUA
rnacentral:lncRNA from 10 species